GAUGAACGCUAGCGGCAGGCUUAAUACAUGCAAGUCGAGGGGCAACAGGGGUAGCAAUACCUGCUGGCGACCGGCAAACGGGUGCGGAACACGUACAGAACCUUCCUUUAAGCGGGGGAUAGCCCAUAGAAAUAGUGGAUUAAUACCCCACUAGUAAUAUUAGUUGGCAUCAAUUGAUAUUUAAAGUAUUUAUCACUUAAAGAUGGCUGUGCGGCUGAUUAGGUAGUUGGUGCGGGUAACGGCCCACCAAGCCAGCGAUCAGUAACUGGUGUGAGAGCACGA
rnacentral:rRNA from 1 species